rnacentral:lncRNA from 1 species
GUGGAGGAAGAGAGUGCAUGUGAAGAGAGGAGUACACAGCUGAGAGUGAAGGUGGAGAAGAAUAUGUCAAGAGAGCAGAAAUCGAUCCUGGGAGAAAAAGUCUGAUCUGAAGCGUCUCAAGCUAAUAUUUCAGGACAGAGCAGAUAUUGACAUCAAGAAGCAGACCCAAGAGUAGUUCCUGAGUAUUCUACCUGGGAAGAUCAGGACUGAGUUAAGCCACCACAUCUAGAGAGCAGUGAGCGAGAGUUGACUAUGAAGGAUCUGAUCCAAGUGCUGGAAGAGAAAGGUUUGCCUUUGCAGGACUCCACCCUUCCACAAGUGGGUAGCACAGAGGAGGAUAUGGUUCCUGGGCUCCUGCUAUCUAAGCUUCAGGUAAAUUGGGAUUUUCAGUUUGUUUCCUGAAGUACCAUCUUAUUUCAGAGAGUUUUUA